AGUGAACGCUGGCGGUAGGCCUAACACAUGCAAGUCGAACGGCAGCACAGUAAGAGCUUGCUCUUACGGGUGGCGAGUGGCGGACGGGUGAGGAAUACAUCGGAAUCUACUUUUUCGUGGGGGAUAACGUAGGGAAACUUACGCUAAUACCGCAUACGACCUACGGGUGAAAGCAGGGGAUCUUCGGACCUUGCGCGAUUGAAUGAGCCGAUGUCGGAUUAGCUAGUUGGCGGGGUAAAGGCCCACCAAGGCGACGAUCCGUAGCUGGUCUGAGAGGAUGAUCAGCCACACUGGAACUGAGACACGGUCCAGACUCCUACGGGAGGCAGCAGUGGGGAAUAUUGGACAAUGGGCGCAAGCCUGAUCCAGCCAUACCGCGUGGGUGAAGAAGGCCUUCGGGUUGUAAAGCCCUUUUGUUGGGAAAGAAAGGCAGCAGGUUAAUACCCCGCUGUUCUGACGGUACCCAAAGAAUAAGCACCGGCUAACCUCGUG
rnacentral:rRNA from 1 species